CCCCUAGAUGUUCUGGGCCGCACGCGCGCUACACUGAACAGUUCAACAAGUCUUAACCUUGGCCGAUAGGUCUGGGUAAUCUUUGAACGCUGUUCGUGAUUGGGAUAGACCUUUGCAAUUAUGGGUCUUCAACGAGGAAUUCCUAGUAAACGCAAGUCAUCAGCUUGCAUUGAUUACGUCCCUGCCCUUUGUACACACCGCCCGUCGCACCUACCGAUUGAAUGGUCCGGUGAAAUCUCGGGACGGCGGCUUGGUCGCUUGCGUUCGACUGCUGAAACUUGAUUAAACCAUAUCAUUUAGAGGAAGGUGAANUCGUAACA
rnacentral:rRNA from 1 species